GGGUUGUGAGGUUAAGCGACUAAGCGUACACGGUGGAUGCCCUGGCAGUCAGAGGCGAUGAAGGACGUGCUAAUCUGCGAUAAGCGCCGGUAAGGUGAUAUGAACCGUUAUAACCGGCGAUUUCCGAAUGGGGAAACCCAGUGUGACUCGUCACACUAUCAUUAACUGAAUCCAUAGGUUAAUGAGGCGAACCGGGGGAACUGAAACAUCUAAGUACCCCGAGGAAAAGAAAUCAACCGAGAUUCCCCCAGUAGCGGCGAGCGAACGGGGAGGAGCCCAGAGCCUGAAUCAGCAUGUGUGUUAGUGGAAGCGUCUGGAAAGGCGCGCGAUACAGGGUGACAGCCCCGUACACAAAAGCGCAUGUGCUGUGAGCUCGAUGAGUAGGGCGGGACACGUGGUAUCCUGUCUGAAUAUGGGGGGACCAUCCUCCAAGGCUAAAUACUCCUGACUGACCGAUAGUGAACCAGUACCGUGAGGGAAAGGCGAAAAGAACCCCGGCGAGGGGAGUGAAAAAGAACCUGAAACCGUGUACGUACAAGCAGUGGGAGCACAGGUUUACCUGUGUGACUGCGUACCUUUUGUAUAAUGGGUCAGCGACUUAUAUUCUGUAGCAAGGUUAACCGAAUAGGGGAGCCGUAGGGAAACCGAGUCUUAACCGGGCGUUAAGUUGCAGGGUAUAGACCCGAAACCCGGUGAUCUAGCCAUGGGCAGGUUGAAGGUUGGGUAACACUAACUGGAGGACCGAACCGACUAAUGUUGAAAAAUUAGCGGAUGACCUGUGGCUGGGGGUGAAAGGCCAAUCAAACCGGGAGAUAGCUGGUUCUCCCCGAAAGCUAUUUAGGUAGCGCCUCGUGAAUUCAUCUCCGGGGGUAGAGCACUGUUUCGGCUAGGGGGCCAUCCCGGCUUACCAACCCGAUGCAAACUGCGAAUA
rnacentral:rRNA from 1 species